AGAUGUUAAAAGCAAGAGACAUGGGAGAGCAUCAUUCCUUUGAGAUUUUAUAACUCAAACCAAGUUUGGAUUUGUCUUGUCUGAUUUGGAGAGUCAUUAUUCUUGGUCUUCGCUCUUAAAGGCCACUGAUGAAGAACAGGCGGUGUUUGGGAUGAAUCCUGGUCAGAGAGGAGAAUCUUCUUUCUCCUAAACUGAUGCAGCGGUGGUUUUAAAGGAGGACGCUGCCCUGGAUGAUGUAGAAGAUGUCACAUGCUGUGCUGAUGGGGUUUCUUCAUGAUUACAUCAGUUAUGCUAAAGAGAUCAUGAAAAUUGACCGUGAUGCAUGAUCUGUAUUCAUGGACUAUGAAACAAACUGUAAGUGUAUAAUUUGUUUAAAAAAAAAAAAAAAAAGUUAAAUGCUUUUUCUGUGUUGUUUAGUAGAAGAGUUUACACUCUGUCAUUCAUACACCUGUCACUUUCUUUCACACACACACACACACACACACAUGCGUCUGUUAAAUGUUAUAAUAUCAAAGUUAAUGUUGUGAUUUAUUUGUGUACUGUCAUGCCAGAAUAGUUGGAAACAAACCUAACUAAUUGUAAAUUUAUUGUAUGUGUUUUCGUAUAUUUUUAUACAAUAUAUACAAUUGAACAAAGUCCAAUUUGAUCUUAAGUUAUAUUCAUCAAAUGUUCAAUGCUUUGUUUAUGAACUCUGUAGCUGUUAAUGCCAUCCUUUUCUGCAUUUCUUCUAACAUGUUACUUUUUGACUUUUCUCUUGUUUUUAAUAAAUAUUUUCCUUUUGGUAAUUAUUAUUUGUGUGUAAAAGUGAUAUUUAAAAUGAACAACAUUUGUAGGUUUAAUGCCUAGCUCAAUUUGGGUUAAUUUUAACGUAGAAAUGCAUUGUUUCCCCACAUGGCUGCACUC